AUGAGCCACCUCCAACGCGGCGAGGGUGGCGCCGGCCGCCGCUGCACAGCGCGCCUCCGUUACCAGAUCCAUGCGAGCGACGAGGGAUCCGGACCGGCUCGCUCACGCACCACGCGCCUCCAUCCCCAAAUCAAACACGACGAGGAUGGCGCCGGAGUGGCCUGCAACCGCCGCAGCCGUAAGCGCCACCAUCGGCGCGGUAAGCGCCUCCGCGCCCGGACCCACGCUAGCGAGGAGGGCGACGGCACCUCGCGGGAGACACCUGCCUCCCUGCCGGACAGCGAAGAUAUGCUCCGGGAGAUCCUCCUCCGGCUCCCCCUGGACCUAUACUCUCUCCCCCGCGCCUCCGCCGUGUGCAAGCAGUGGCGAGGCAUCCUCGCCGACCCCAAGUUCCUCCGCCGGUUCUACGCGCACCACCGCAAGCCGCCCCUCCUUGGCUUCUUCCAUUACGGCAGCACACAGAUUGCGUUCAUGCCCGUCCUGGCCCCUGCUCCCGACCGCAUCACCCCUGGGCGCUUCUCCCUUGGACACUAUAGCAAAUGCAUCCUGCUUGAUUCUCGCCACGGCCGCGCCCUCGUCUUAGACUUGCAGCAUGAAGAGGUCGUCGUUUGUGACCCUAUCACCAACAAACAUCACCGCGUGCCCAUUCCGCCUGAGUUCACCGAAUGCUUCUUUAACGCGGCAGUGCUUUGUGCUGCUAGCUACCAGGGCCAUGUGCACGGCGGCUGCCACUUAUGCCCCUUCAAGGUGGUCUUGGUGUCCUAUAGAGACAAUACGCACCCCUAUGCAAGCGUUUACUCCUCGGAGACUACCACAUGGGGCAAUGUCAUCUCAACUGAGGCUUCAGAUGAUACUGUAUUUGGUGCUUGUCGUAGCACCCUUGUAGAUAAUGUCCUUUACUGGCCAGCUAAGGAAAAGGGAGACGACAUAGUUGAGUUUGAUUUGGGCACGCAGAACCUUAGCGUUAUCAAGGGUCCUCAAGGUAUGAAUAUGAAUGAUUUCGACAACUUUCAUAUCAUUGACGCAGAGGAUGGCGUUGUUGGUCUUGUCGCCUUGUCUCGCCUUGACCUUCAAAUGUGGCGGAGGAAGGUCAAUUGUCGGGGUGUUGCCAUAUGGUUGCUGUGGAAGACUGUUUCAUUGCGUGAACUUCUUAAGAUCCCUCCUUGGACUAUGAGAAGGAUUGAACCGCUCAAAAUGGUGGGUUAUGAUGAGGAUACCGAUGUAAUCUUUUUAGAGAGGCACGAUAGUGUGUAUAUGGUUCAGCCAAAGUCAAUGCAAGCCAGGAAACUUAAUGGCAUCAGCUCUACAUAUUACUGCUAUACUUUAGCGAGUAUCUGUCCACUAGGUGAUUGA
rnacentral:rRNA from 1 species